UACGUAGGGGGCAAGCGUUGUCCGGAAUCAUUGGGCGUAAAGAGCGUGUAGGCGGCCCGAUAAGUCCGCUGUGAAAGUCAAGGGCUCAACCCUUGAAUGCCGGCGGAUACUGUCGGGCUAGAGUCCGGAAGAGGCGAGUGGAAUUCCUGGUGUAGCGGUGGAAUGCGCAGAUAUCAGGAGGAACACCAAUAGCGAAGGCAGCUCGCUGGGACGGUACUGACGCUAAGGCGCGAAAGCGUGGGGAGCGAACAGG
rnacentral:rRNA from 1 species